GCCAGGUGCCAUGGCUCAUGCCUGUAAUCCCAGCAGCUCUGGAGGCUGAGACAGGAGGAUCAUGAGUUCAAAGCCAGCCUCAGCAAAAGCAAGGCACUAAGCAACUCAGUGAGAACCUGUCUCUA
rnacentral:sRNA from 1 species